GACAGCUGAGCGCGUCUUUCGCCUGGGUCAAGACACCCCGGCCGACGGCUCCCGAAACCCUUGACGUUCUCCCUCCCGUGCUCUCUCUUUCUCCUCUGGCGGCGGCAGCGGGAGGAAGUCUCGGCCGGAGCGAGCCGCCGAGCCGUGCCGGCGGCUUUUCCUCCUUCCCCCCACCUCUUUGUCCAUUCUUUCCCGGCGAAGGCGAUGCGGCCGGCUCUUCACCGGCCGGACUGGCGUGGCGUCAUCCCUGGCCCCUUGCCGGCGUGCGCGUGCACCCAACGGUGCGCGCGUCGCUGUCAAGUGACCGGCGGCCGACGACCGAAAUCCGACGACCGGCGGCGGCGCCCACGGGUAAGUUUCUUUGUCUUUUUCUUUUUAUUUCUCUUUUCUUUUCUCCUUUCUCUUUCUACCGAAGCCGAUUUACUCGUCUAAAUCGCUCUGAUACCAUUGAUAGAAACCUAGAAUCGUCUAGGUGUAGAUCUAGCCGGUAGAAGGUUCUUUCUGUGGUUUGACUUGAGAUUCAGGUAUGGGAGAAAGAGAGGAAGGGGAGGAGGGGUACCUUCUCCUCGGGACGAUGACGAGGAUGCCGGCGUGGACGUCAUGGUCGGCGGCUGUCGUGGUGGUGUCACGGCAGAUGCCAUAGGAUGGCUUAACUUGGGGCCGAUGGACGCAGGAGGAUCCGGAUGAGGGAGGACAUGAAGGGAAACACGCACAAAACACACGAGCACACACAAAUUUACCGAGGUUCGGAGCCCUCUUGUCGAGGUAAGACUUCUACUCCUGCUUUGUUGUAUUAGCCGAGAUAGACAAACUCUACAAUGGCGCUCCUUGAGUUGUAUUCUUGAGGAACAAGAAGAAGGGAAAACCCUAGAUGCCUAAGUGCUCUCGUCCUAAGCGCCUCCCUUCUCUACAGAGGGAUAAGGUUCUAUUUAUAGGCCGCCCAUGUCACAUUGACAUGCGGGCCGAGUCUAACGUCAUCUUCCUUGGGUCCUACUGGGCACGCGGCUUGGUUCCCUCCAGGCAGUACCGUAGGGGACAAGACGACUUUACUUUUCCCUGCCAGUCUGCA
rnacentral:lncRNA from 1 species